GAUGAACGCUGGCGGCGUGCCUAAUACAUGCAAGUCGAGCGAACAGACGAGGAGCUUGUGCCCUUGACGUUAGCGGCGGACGGGUGAGUAACACGUGGAUAACCUACUUAUAAGACUGGGAUAACUUCGGGAAACCGGAGCCAAUACCGGAUAAUAUAUUGAACCGCAUGGUUCAAUAGUUAAUGACGGCUUUGCUGUCACUUAUAGCUGGAUCCGCGCCGGAUUAGCUAGUUGGUAAGGUAACGGCUUACCAAGGCGACGAUGCGUAGCCGACCUGAGAGGGUGAUCGGCCACACUGGAACUGAGACACGGUCCAGACUCCUACGGGAGGCAGCAGUAGGGAAUCUUCGGCAAUGGGCGAAAGCCUGACGGAGCCACACCGCGUGAGUGAUGAAGGUCUUCGGAUCGUAAAGCCCUGUUGUUGGGGAAGAACAAAUGCGUAAGUAACCAUGGCCGUUUUGACGGUACCUAAUCAGUAAGCACCGGCUAACUACGUG
rnacentral:rRNA from 1 species